rnacentral:ncRNA from 1 species
CUAAGGGGGGGCGUUAAGCCUGAGAUUCUCCUUGUUGUUGAUGCGUAUUCGCACUAAUCAUACGAAUAUAAAGAAGCAAUAAGACAGUGAACCCUUUGAACCUGAUCCGGUUAAUUCCGGCGUAGGAAUAGGAGUUA